GUUUUCGGUCACUAUAGGGACUCACCGACAAAGUGACAUGAAAAAGCAACACGAAAAUGUGCGCGAGUGUGAGACCAAAUUUGCAUUAUCCCGUCACAAGCUAUUGGACGCGCUCUGGUGCUCCCUUCUCUUUUUCUUCUUUCUUUAUGAGAUUGUUGCGAAAGAGAAAUUUAUAUGCACUCCAUAGUAAUACAAUAAUAGUUCCCACGUGACGUAUCUGUAAUUUCUAAUUUCACCCAACAGCGUAAUCCUACGUGAAUGAUGGAGGUCCGUCUUUCGGUAGGCCUGUAUCUGCAAAUAAUGUGGGACCCCUACCUACUAAAAGCACCUACGGUGCGGCAGUACUAAGUUUAAAUGAAAUUUACAGGGUGUUUCAGUACGCAAACGAAGAACCUUAGUGCGUUGUUUAUGUUCUAAUGCCAGAGGAAGUAUAUUUUAAACCAAUAUGCCCCAGACACAGCGUCCGCAUGGCACCGAAAGCAUUAAGGAUGACACGUUUACGUUCGCCGAGCGGAGAAGACUUUCUGAAGCGCAGUUAAGCGAGAGCGGCUAUUCAUCUACAUGCGAAUAUGUGUGCGCAUAUAAUGUGCGGCGUUACCCGAGUAAUUUAAUUAAUUAUUAUAUUAAGUA